rnacentral:rRNA from 1 species
AGCGAACGCUGGCGGCAGGCCUAACACAUGCAAGUCGAGCGGCCGUAGCAAUACGGCAGCGGCAGACGGGAGAGUAACACGUGGGAACGCGCCCUUCGGUUCGGAAUAACUCAGGGAAACUUGGGCUAAUACCGGAUACGCCCUUACGGGGAAAGAUUUAUUGCCGAAGGAACGGCCCGCGUCCGAUUAGCUUGUUGGUGAGGUAACGGCUCACCAAGGCAACGAUCGGUAGCUGGUCUGAGAGGAUGACCAGCCUCACUGGGACUGAGACACGGCCCAGACGCCUACGGGAGGCAGCAGUGGGGAAUAUUGGACAAUGGGCGCAAGCCUGAUCCAGCCAUGCCGCGUGGGUGAUGAAGGCCCUAGGGUUGUAAAGCCCUUUCGGCGGGGAAGAUAAUGACGGUACCCGCAGAAGAAGCCCCGGCUAACUUCGUGCCAGCCGCCGCAGUAAGAC